GGGGCUGUGGCUCAAAGGCAGAGAAUUUGCUUGGCAUUCAGAAGGUCCCAUGUUCAAUUCCUGACAUCCCCA
rnacentral:tRNA from 1 species